GAUGAACGCUGGCGGCGUGCCUAAUACAUGCAAGUCGAGCGAAUGGAUUAAGAGCUUGCUCUUAUGAAGUUAGCGGCGGACGGGUGAGUAACACGUGGGUAACCUACCCAUAAGACUGGGAUAACUCCGGGAAACCGGGGCUAAUACCGGAUAAUAUUUUGAACUGCAUAGUUCGAAAUUGAAAGGCGGCUUCGGCUGUCACUUAUGGAUGGACCCGCGUCGCAUUAGCUAGUUGGUGAGGUAACGGCUCACCAAGGCGACGAUGCGUAGCCGACCUGAGAGGGUGAUCGGCCACACUGGGACUGAGACACGGCCCAGACUCCUACGGGAGGCAG
rnacentral:rRNA from 1 species